UGCGGGAUCAUCUAAUGGUAGGAUAGUCGCCUCUGAAGCGAUUCAUCUUGGUUCGAGUCCAAGCCCCGCAGCC
rnacentral:tRNA from 1 species